rnacentral:rRNA from 1 species
GAUGAACGCUGGCGGCAUGCCUAACACAUGCAAGUCGAUCGGUAAGGCUCUUCGGAGUACACGAGAGGCGGACGGCUGAGUAACGCGUAGGAACACACCCUGCAGUGAGGGAUAAGACACCGAAAGGUGUUCUAAUACCGCAUACGGUCUUCGGAUUAAAGCAUUUAUGCGCUGAAGGAGUGGCCUGCGUCAUAUUAGAUAGUUGGUGAGGUAAUGGCUCACCAAGUCGAUGAUGUGUAGCUGGUCUGAGAGGAUGAUCAGCCAGACUGGAGCUGAGACACGGUCCAGACUCCUACGGGAGGCAGCAGUGAGGAAUAUUUCACAAUGAGCGAAAGCUUGAUGGAGCAAUGCCGCGUGCAGGAUGAAGGCCCUCGGGUUGUAAACUGCUUUUAUAAGAGAAGAUUAUGACGGUAACUUAUGAAUAAGGGACGGCUAACUACGUG